rnacentral:rRNA from 1 species
GAUGAACGCUGGCGGCGUGCCUAAUACAUGCAAGUCGAGCGAACGGACGAGAAGCUUGCUUCUCUGAUGUUAGCGGCGGACGGGUGAGUAACACGUGGAUAACCUACCUAUAAGACUGGGAUAACUUCGGGAAACCGGAGCUAAUACCGGAUAAUAUUUUGAACCGCAUGGUUCAAAAGUGAAAGACGGUCUUGCUGUCACUUAUAGAUGGAUCCGCGCUGCAUUAGCUAGUUGGUAAGGUAACGGCUUACCAAGGCAACGAUGCAUAGCCGACCUGAGAGGGUGAUCGGCCACCCUGGAGCUGGGACACGGUCCAGACCCCUACGGGAGGCAGUAGUAGGGAAUCUUCCGCAGUGGGCGAAAGCCUGACGGAGCAACGCCGCGUGAGUGAUGAAGGUCUUCGGAUCGUAAAACUCUGUUAUUAGGGAAGAACAUAUGUGUAAGUAACUGUGCACAUCUUGACGGUACCUAAUCAGAAAGCCACGGCUAACUACGUG